rnacentral:rRNA from 1 species
CACGUAGGGUGCGAGCGUUGUCCGGAAUUACUGGGCGUAAAGUGUGCGCAGGCGGCCGCGCAAGUCGAGUGUGAAAUCCCCGAGCUUAACUUGGGAAUUGCGCUCGAAACUACGUGGCUGGAGUGUGGCAGAGGAAGGUGGAAUUCCACGUGUAGCGGUGAAAUGCGUAGAGAUGUGGAGGAACACCGAUGGCGAAGGCAGCCUUCUGGGCCAACACUGACGCUCAUGCACGAAAGCGUGGGGAGCAAACAGG